UCGGUAAGACAUGGCAUAGAAUAAUUCAGUGAAUCGAUUUAAGCUACGACGAGCAUGCAAGAGUUCAUAAUCAAGACGAAGAUAGGGAUCAAGCAAUCAAUACGUCGUAGUCUUCUAUAACUUGCGACUAGGAUGGAAUGAACAUCACAUUCAGUCUUAUGAGGAAUCAAGUCUUGGUUCUGGGGAGUAUGUCGCAAGACUGAAACUAAGAAUGACGAAGGGCACCACCAGAGUGGAGCUGCGGGCGUGAGGUGGACUCAACACGGGCAACCUACCAGGUCCAGACAUAGUAGGAUUGACAGAUGAAUAGCUCUUUCUGAUCUAUGGGUGGUGUGCAUGGCCGUUCUCCUUUCUUGUGUGAUUUGUCUGGUUAAUUCCGAUAACGAACGAGACCUUAACUGCUAACUAGAUAUUUUCAUUUUAUGAAUAUAUCUUCUUAGAGGGACUAUAUGCUUUAAGUAUAUGGAAGUUUGAGGCAAAAACAAGGUCUGUGAUGCCCUUAUAUGUCCUGGGCUGCACGCGUGCUACACUGAUAUAUACAACAAGUGCCUAGCUAGAUAUAGUAUGGCAAUCUCGAAUAUAUAUCGUGAUGGGGAUAGAUCUUUGCAAUUAUAGAUCUUGAACGAGGAAUUCCUAGUAAGUGCAAGUCAUCAUCUUGCAUUGAUUAUGUCCCUGCCCUUUGUACACACCAGACAAUCGCUCCUACCGAUACCGGGUGAUCCGGUGAACCUGUGGACCCUUUGGGAAAAAUAAGUAAAUCAUAUCACCUGCAGAGAGAAGUCGAACAGUAACGGACCCGGGCCGGUCAGUC
rnacentral:rRNA from 1 species